rnacentral:rRNA from 1 species
UAAUACGGAGGAUCCGAGCGUUAUCCGGAUUUAUUGGGUUUAAAGGGUGCGUAGGUGGUUUGAUAAGUCAGCGGUGAAAGUUUGCAGCUUAACUGUAAAAAUGCCGUUGAAACUGUCGGACUUGAGUGUAAAUGAGGUAGGCGGAAUGCGUGGUGUAGCGGUGAAAUGCAUAGAUAUCACGCAGAACUCCGAUUGCGAAGGCAGCUUACUAAGCUACAACUGACACUGAAGCACGAAAGCGUGGGGAUCAAACAGG